GCUCAAAUUUGAAAUCUUCAAGGGUUUCCCUUUACGAAUUGUAGUUUAAAGAAGUGUUUUCUGUUGAGGUUUUGGUAAAAGUUCUUUGGAAUAGGACAUCAUAGAGGGUGAGAAUCCCGUAUUUGACCUUUACUUUCAACUUUGUGAUACACUUUCAAAGAGUCGGAUUGUUUGGGAAUGCAGUCCAAAAUGGGUGGUAAAUUUCAUCUAAAGCUAAAUAUUGGCGAGAGACCGAUAGCGAACAAGUACCGUGAGGGAAAGAUGAAAAGAACUUUGAAAAGAGAGUUAAACAGUACGUGAAAUUGUCAAAAGGGAAGCGUUUGACACCAGUGUUGUUUUUCUGAAAAUCAAUUAAAGAACUGUUUAUGCUAAGCUGUUUAGACUUUAUCAGCUAUCUGUUUAGUUUUGAGCUUUUCUUUAAUGCACUUUUCAUUUAACAAG
rnacentral:rRNA from 1 species